GCUUUUAGUAUUUUCUUAAUGCAAAAACAUAUAAGUUAGACCCAUUAUCAAACUCUAAUCAUUUCUCCUUAAUUUUAAUUUAAAAAUACUGUGAUAGCAGCUUUCUAUAUUCCUGUAACAAAAAAAAAAAUCUAAAUAACUAAUAUAAAAUAAUAGUUCAUAAAGUGCAAUAAUAAACCCAAAGUCUUAUAGUUCGUCUACAAUCAGUAAAAUUAGGUAAUGCCUAUGAAAACCAUUUACCAGCAAUAAGUGUCUAACAAACUGUCUAAUUAUUUAAUGGAAACUCAAAAACAAAACCCCAAAACCCGGAAAACAAAAAAAAAACAAAACCGCAAGCAAAUGUAUAUAGCUGUCUCUGCAAAAAUACUCUCAGUCCCAGAUAACACCAGAACAACACCGAUGAUAUUGUAAAGUUAAAAGUAAAGCCAUAAUGCAGUUAAAUACUACUAUUUCCUACCUUCAAUAAUACAGCAAUUAUAAUAAAGAACAUUUUCUUGAAGAAAAACUUAAUACCAGCAAUAAAAAAAACAAACACAACAAAAAAAA
rnacentral:lncRNA from 1 species